rnacentral:rRNA from 1 species
AACGAACGCUGGCGGCGUGGCUAAGACAUGCAAGUCGAACGGGCUAUGUGAUUGGGUAACCGAGAUCAUAGUUAGUGGCGAAAGGAUGAGUAAUGGAUAGGUAACGUACCUCGUGCUCUGGGAUAGCGUCUGGAAGCUUGCUUCCUUCCGAAAGGGGCGGUAAUACCAGGUAAUAUCACAAAUUGCAGGAUUUGUGAUCAUAGAUUUAUCGGCAUGAGAGCGGCCUAUUCCCUAUCAGCUUGUUGGUAAGGUAACGGCUUACCAAGGCAAUGACGGGUAGCGGGACUGAGAGGUUGGCCCGCCAUAUCGGGACUGAGACACUGCCCGGACUCCACGGAGGCUGCAGUAACGAAUAUUGGGCAAUGGGCGAAGCCUGACCCAGCGACGCCGCGUGCGGGAUGAAGCU